UACAGAGGUCUCAAGCGUUGUUCGGAUUCAUUGGGCGUAAAGGGCGCGUAGGCGGCUGUGCAAGUCAGAUGUGAAAGCCCUGGGCUCAACCCAGGAUGUGCAUUUGAUACUGCGCGGCUAGAGUGUCGGAGAGGAUGGUGGAAUUCCCAGUGUAGAGGUGAAAUUCGUAGAUAUUGGGAAGAACACCGGUGGCGAAGGCGACCAUCUGGACGACAACUGACGCUGAGGCGCGAAAGCGUGGGGAGCAAACAGG
rnacentral:rRNA from 1 species